UGAACGCUGGCGGUAGGCCUAACACAUGCAAGUCGAACGGCAGCACAGUAAGAGCUUGCUCUUACGGGUGGCGAGUGGCGGACGGGUGAGGAAUACAUCGGAAUCUACUUUUUCGUGGGGGAUAACGUAGGGAAACUUACGCUAAUACCGCAUACGACCUACGGGUGAAAGCAGGGGAUCUUCGGACCUUGCGCAAUUGAAUGAGCCGAUGUCGGAUUAGCUAGUUGGCGGGGUAAAGGCCCACCAAGGCGACGAUCCGUAGCUGGUCUGAGAGGAUGAUCAGCCACACUGGAACUGAGACACGGUCCAGACUCCUACGGGAGGCAGCAGUGGGGAAUAUUGGACAAAGGGCGCAAGCCUGAUCCAGCCAUACCGCGUGGGUGAAGAAGGCCUUCGGGUUGUAAAGCCCUUUUGUUGGGAAAGAAAAGCAGCAGGUUAAUACCCCGCUGUUCUGACGGUACCCAAAGAAUAAGCACCGGCUAACUUCGUG
rnacentral:rRNA from 1 species